ACCUGCCAUAGCUUCUACUGUCCUGGACCUUUUCCCAAGAUUUCUGGAUACACCUGGCUUGAUUGACCAAGACUUCACAAUGCUGUUUUUUGGGGAGGAAGUGUCUGGUAAGUUCCUUGCAAAGUGGCCAACAUUCUUCAAGCCAAGGAUCAUCAAAGAUUGCAAAAAUCUGUCCCAGAGUACAGAAUUGGAUGAGCUGCUCAUUUCUGCACAGCGUUACUCUAACGAGGCUGUUUGGGACUGCGAGGCGGCUGCCCUCUUUUGCUGCUUCACUUCACUCCAUCAUCUAAGGGAAGGACGUCUUCAAAGAUUAGCACAUCAGAU
ensembl:lncRNA